AGAGUUUGAUCCUGGCUCAGGAUGAACGCUAGCUACAGGCUUAACACAUGCAAGUCGAGGGGAAACGAUAUUGGAAGCUUGCUUCCGAUAGGCGUCGACCGGCGCACGGGUGAGUAACGCGUAUCCAACCUGCCCAUCACUUGGGGAUAACCUUGCGAAAGUAAGACUAAUACCCAAUGACGUCUCUAGAAGACAUCUGAAGGAGAUUAAAGAUUUAUCGGUGAUGGAUGGGGAUGCGUCUGAUUAGCUUGUUGGCGGGGUAACGGCCCACCAAGGCAACGAUCAGUAGGGGUUCUGAGAGGAAGGUCCCCCACAUUGGAACUGAGACACGGUCCAAACUCCUACGGGAGGCAGCAGUGAGGAAUAUUGGUCAAUGGGCGAGAGCCUGAACCAGCCAAGUAGCGUGCAGGAAGACGGCCCUAUGGGUUGUAAACUGCUUUUAUAAGGGAAUAAAGUGAGUCUCGUGAGACUUUUUGCAUGUACCUUAUGAAUAAGGACCGGCUAAUUCCGUGCCAGCAGCCGCGGUAAUACGGAAGGUCCGGGCGUUAUCCGGAUUUAUUGGGUUUAAAGGGAGCGUAGGCCGGAGAUUAAGCGUGUUGUGAAAUGUAGACGCUCAACGUCUGCACUGCAGCGCGAACUGGUUUCCUUGAGUACGCACAAAGUGGGCGGAAUUCGUGGUGUAGCGGUGAAAUGCUUAGAUAUCACGAAGAACUCCGAUUGCGAAGGCAGCUCACUGGAGCGCAACUGACGCUGAAGCUCGAAAGUGCGGGUAUCGAACAGGAUUAGAUACCCUGGUAGUCCGCACGGUAAACGAUGGAUGCCCGCUGUUGGUCUGAACAGGUCAGCGGCCAAGCGAAAGCAUUAAGCAUCCCACCUGGGGAGUACGCCGGCAACGGUGAAACUCAAAGGAAUUGACGGGGGCCCGCACAAGCGGAGGAACAUGUGGUUUAAUUCGAAGCAACGCGAAGAACCUUACCAAGUCUUGACAUCCCGAUGACAGAGUAUGUAAUGUACUUUCUCUUCGGAGCAUCGGUGACAGGUGGUGCAUGGUUGUCGUCAGCUCGUGUCGUGAGAUGUUGGGUUAAGUCCCGCAACGAGCGCAACCCCUGUUCUUAGUAGCCAGCGGUUCGGCCGGGCACUCUAGGGAGACUGCCAGGGAUAACCUGGAGGAAGGCGGGGAUGACGUCAAAUCAUCAUGCCCCUUAUGACUUGGGCUACACACGUGCUACAAUGGCGUAAACAAAGGGAAGCGGGGCCGUGAGGCCGAGCAAAUCUCAAAAAUAACGUCUCAGUUCGGACUGUAGUCUGCAACCCGACUACACGAAGCUGGAAUCGCUAGUAAUCGCAGAUCAGAAUGCUGCGGUGAAUACGUUCCCGGGUCUUGUACACACCGCCCGUCACACCAUGGGAGUUGGAAAUGCCCGAAGUCAGUGACCCAACCGCAAGGAGGGAGCUGCCGAAGGCAGGUUCGAUAACUGGGGUGAAGUCGUAACAAGGUA
rnacentral:rRNA from 1 species